ACCCGCACAAGCGGUGGAUGAUGUGGAUUAAUCGAUGCAACGCGAAAACCUUACCUACCCUUGACAUGUCCGGAAUCCUGCAGAGAUGCGGGAGUGCCCGAAAGGGAAUCGGAACACAGGUGCUGCAUGGCUGUCGUCAGCUCGUGUCGUGAGAUGUUGGGUUAAGUCCCGCAACGAGCGCAACCCUUAUCAUUAGUUGCUACGCAAGGGCACUCUAAUGAGACUGCCGGUGACAAACCGGAGGAAGGUGGGGAUGACGUCAAGUCCUCAUGGCCCUUAUGGGUAGGGCUUCACACGUCAUACAAUGGUCGGUACAGAGGGUUGCCAAGCCGCGAGGUGGAGCCAAUCCCAGAAAGCCGAUCGUAGUCCGGAUUGUUCUCUGCAACUCGAGAGCAUGAAGUCGGAAUCGCUAGUAAUCGCGGAUCAGCAUGUCGCGGUGAAUACGUUCCCGGGUCUU
rnacentral:rRNA from 1 species